CAGUAGCCGCGGUAAUACGGAGGGGGCUAGCGUUGUUCGGAAUUACUGGGCGUAAAGCGUACGUAGGCGGCUUUGUAAGUUAGAGGUGAAAGCCUGGUGCUCAACACCAGAACUGCCUUUAAGACUGCAUCGCUUGAACGUCGGAGAGGUGAGUGGAAUUCCGAGUGUAGAGGUGAAAUUCGUAGAUAUUCGGAAGAACACCAGUGGCGAAGGCGGCUCACUGGACGACUGUUGACGCUGAGGUACGAAAGCGUGGGGAGCAAACAGGAUUAGAUACCCCCGUAGUCCCUGUCUCUUAUAU
rnacentral:rRNA from 1 species